rnacentral:rRNA from 1 species
AGCGAACGCUGGCGGCAGGCUUAACACAUGCAAGUCGAACGCCCCGCAAGGGGAGUGGCAGACGGGUGAGUAACACGUGGGAACGUACCCUUUGGUUCGGAAUAACUUGGGGAAACUCAAGCUAAUACCGGAUAAGCCCUUAUGGGGAAAGGUUUACUGCCGAAGGAUCGGCCCGCGUCGGAUUAGCUAGUUGGUGAGGUAAUGGCUCACCAAGGCGACGAUCAGUAUCUGGUCUGAGAGGAUGACAAACCACACUGGGACUGAGACACGGCCCAGACUCCUACGGGAGGCAGCAGUGGGGAAUAUUGGACAAUGGGGGCAACCCUGAUCCAGCCAUGCCGCGUGAGUGAUGAAGGCCUUAGGGUUGUAAAGCUCUUUUACCCGGGACGAUAAUGACUGUACCGGGAGAAUAAGCCCCGGCUAACUUCGUGCCAGCAGCCGCAGUAA